UCUUGACAUCCUUUGACAACCCUAGAGAUAGGGUUUCUCCUUCGGGAGCAGAGUGACAGGUGGUGCAUGGUUGUCGUCAGCUCGUGUCGUGAGAUGUUGGGUUAAGUCCCGCAACGAGCGCAACCCUUGAUCUUAGUUGCCAUCAUUUAGUUGGGCACUUUAAGGUGACUGCCGGUGACAAACCGGAGGAAGGUGGGGAUGACGUCAAAUCAUCAUGCCCCUUAUGACCUGGGCUACACACGUGCUACAAUGGACGGUACAAAGAGCUGCAAGACCGCGAGGUGGAGCUAAUCUCAUAAAACCGUUCUCAGUUCGGAUUGUAGGCUGCAACUCGCCUACAUGAAGCUGGAAUCGCUAGUAAUCGCGGAUCAGCAUGCCGCGGUGAAUACGUUCCCGGGCCUUGUACACACCGCCCGUCACACCACGAGAGUUUGUAACACCCGAAGUCGGUGGGGUAACCUC
rnacentral:rRNA from 1 species